AUUGAGAGAUGAUUUGGGGAUUGAGUAAUUAAUGACGAUGGUAGAACAAGAAACAAAAAUUUAUCUUUCUCUUGAUUUGCUAUAAUGAACAAGUAAAAGUGAACGAAAUGAAUACAUAUUAUGCUAAGAAAUGUAUGACAUACGUAUAUAAAUAGCGUGAGAACAUUCUAAUAUUUUCGCCCUAGUUAUUAUAUUAAAUCUAAGUUUUCUGCAUCAGUAAACAAAUAGAUAUUUUUAUGAUUAAGCUACUUUAAAAAUUAAUUAUACAAUGUAAGUAUUAUCAUUAACUUCAAAUUACGAUAAAUAAUGGUGUAUGUUACAAUUAACAAUCAUACACUAUGAAAUGAUUUUGCAGUUUAAGAAAGAAAAAUUUCGACGUAUAGCUACAUAAAAUUUCCUCCCCCUCAAUUUCACUCUCAAAUCUCAAUCUCAACUCCAAUGCUCUGAUCUGGGAACCCAAUAACCUUCCGAAUCUAAAAAAGAAUAAAGUCUAAACUGUUUAUUUUUCCAUUUGACGAAAAUGAAAGGAAGGUUCCAAGACAUUUACUGUUCUUCUUCAGCUAAUCUUCCUUGUAAUUCUUCAAAAAAAGGUACUCCCUUUGUCACUGAAUUGGGUGCUUCUAUUACUAUUCACAAAGUUAAACUGUUCUGAUAAUACAUUCUUAUCAAUUUUUAGCUGUUAAAAAUUGGGAUCACUAUUAGUGCUUUUUAUGUUGUCUCUAAAUAUGUUAAUUUUGUUUUUAUGAGUCAUGAAAUUGAAAUAUAUUCACACUAAAAUUACCUGAGUUGAUACUUGUACUGUACUCUGAUCAUGUUAUUCUUAUUAUUUUUGUGUUUUUUUUGGUGGGUGGGGGGGAGGUUAAUUUAAUUCCUUAAUUCUUUGCCCCCUCUCAGUCUCAGGAAUGAGUUCUUCUAUUACUUUAUUAUUUGUGUUUAGGUAGUUGUCAACUUAGUUACAGCAUUUUGGAGAAGAAUGAGAUUUGCCAGCUGAAAAGGGGUAGAAAGUUCUGUAGAUUAUCAAUGUGGUUGAAGUGGAGUGGCGCCACGGCCAAGAUUUUUGUUGAUAGGGAAUAAAAUUCGAAUUUGAAGUAGAGAGGUGCAAUGGCCAAGUAAGGUAUAUGAGGCCAUUUCUGGUGCUGAACUUUAAAUCUUUGAGAUGUAUUGGCGCUGGAACAUAUGAUCAACAAACUAUGCAUUUGUUGCACAAUUGUUUUCAGAAAUCCUAUAGAAAAGUGAUAAAUGAAAAAAGGAAACUAAUUGGUAAUAUACCCUACUAGUUUGCCCUGCACAUGUAUUCAUCAGAGAGCACAGACAGUGCAAGAAAAUUUCUACAAUAUCAGUUCAUUUAAAAGAUAAUUUAAAAUAUCUAUAAAAGUUCUGCAGUAUCAGUACAUUUGAUAGUGUAAAACUUUUACACUGUCGAUUGGAUAUAGGUUAAAUUCUUUAUGGAAAGUGUGAAAAAAGAAGAAGUGUCGUACUCCUAGUGUUUUGGUCUCUGCUAAGGUUUGAACUCUAGUCCUCAAGGUUUACAACCAGUUCACCGCUGAGCCAAACUCUUCGAUAUUGGAUUUUAAGGCAUAUUUAUUGUAUUUUGGUGUCUAAUUGAUAUGGGUAACCUUGGGUAAUAAUUAUUAUGAUUAAAUUGAUCUAUUGAUGAUUGACCUGUGGAUUGGAUUUGCAGAAAUUCUAAGGAAUUGGUUGAGAACAACUAUGAAAAGCAUAAUUGAGGGAACCUUGUGUUAGCCAAUACUUUAGGUAAUGUGCAUUGUGCCUUUCCAUUACUUGAAUUAAUUAAAAAGUUGAAGUUGAUAGAUUGUAACUCUAAACUAUUGGUUGCUUUAUAGAUUUGUUGACGAAUUGAGUAACAUGGUUGAUCAGAAGUUGAACUUGAGUAAUUGGCAUCUGGAGGUGAGUGAUGACUUGAACUAUGAAUUUUUUUUCCCAUAAAGAGCAUGAUUUGGAAAUUUAAUUCUUAAUUGAACUUCUAUGUUCGACAGAAUUGAGUUUUUCUGUAAAGAUAUAUGCAUCUGAUAUACUUUGGUAUGUUGGGACAAGUUUGAGAUUCGUAAGUUGAUACUUGAAAUAUGUACAAAGUAUGUCUUACGAGAUUGUUGAUAUGAUACGAACUUAUCCUAUUUGAGAUUACUAUAGUAAUUUUUUGCCUAUUUCAUUGAGUUACAUUAAGCUGAUGUUAACUGCAUAUUAACUUUUGGAUUGUGACUUGUGAUGAGAUUGGACUCCAAGGUGAGUCGCUAUAUAUAUGUCAUGGUAUAUUUAUCUGAACUUAUGAUCUAAAUGUUAUGUUCAGAAAUGCAGAAAUGUUUCCCCUUUUGUAGGAGGGUGAUAUUCUCCAUCCAAGUAGGCUGGUUUUUUAUAGCUUAGGUUUAGA
rnacentral:lncRNA from 1 species